GUGGGGAAUUUUGGACAAUGGGCGCAAGCCUGAUCCAGCAAUGCCGCGUGCAGGAAGAAGGCCUUCGGGUUGUAAACUGCUUUUGUACGGAACGAAACGGUCCUGGUUAAUACCUGGGGCUAAUGACGGUACUGUAAGAAUAAGCACCGGCUAACUACGUGCCAGCAGCCGCGGUAAUACGUAGGGUGCGAGCGCUAAUCGGAAUUACUGGGCGUAAAGCGUGCGCAGGCGGUGCUGUAAGACAGGCGUGAAAUCCCCGGGCUCAACCUGGGAAUUGCGCUUGUGACUGCAGUGCUGGAGUACGGAAGAGGGGGAUGGAAUUCCGCGUGUAGCAGUGAAAUGCGUAGAUAUGCGGAGGAACACCGAUGGCGAAGGCAGUCCCCUGGGCCUGUACUGACGCUCAUGCACGAAAGCGUGGGGAGCAAACAGGAUUAGAAACCCCAGUAGUCC
rnacentral:rRNA from 1 species